ensembl:snRNA RNU6-280P RNA, U6 small nuclear 280, pseudogene
GUGCUCACUUUGGCAACAUACAUACUAAAAUUGGACGGAUACAGACAUAAACAUGGCCCCUGCACAAGGAUGACAUGCAAAUUCAUGAAGCAUUCCAUAUUUUU